CUGACUCUGAGGGCUUCGCCUCGAGGUUCUUCAUGGAGGCGCCGCUGUCCUCUGUUUCUGUAGAGGUCCGGGAGAUCGAAUCUUUGGAAAUUUCUGAUUUGUCUCUGUGUCCUUUCAGGAGACGACUCGGGUCUCACGGGCUCAGGCAGAGCCUCUUUGGGUCGUAAUUGUCCUCAUGAACAUUACUAGAUUCUCAAGUUGGAGCCUUGAAAUGUGCGAUCAUGUUUGGGGGAGGGGACAUGAAUAUGUACUUUUUUUUUUAACUUAGGAGGAAAAAUGCUGCACAGACGAGGACAGAAGGAAGCCGGAUAGCCACGUGUCCUUCUAGGCCCACGUCUGUUGCAGUAGUUGUGGUCCCUGUUAACUUCCUCCUGGUCCAGUGUGGAUGCAGUCUUUCCUCAGGGCUGACACUGUCUUCCUGAGGCUCUUUAGAAGAGGAAUGCAGAGCUGCUCUGUCAUUUCCAUAUCUAACGGUGAAAUAUUAUUAACUGCUGCUCGCCUCUCUUUCUAUACAGGGUUCAAUCUCAGUUCCCUUUCAUUCCCCGUCUUUCUCUAGAGAGGAUAAAUCUGCUACAAGUUUAAGGACACAUCCAAAUCCAGAUGAAUUUGAUGUGAAAGCCAAUGGAAAAAGCGACAGAGAAUUGAAUAAUAGCAUUUCUGAAUCAGUAGCCAGAGCUUCAAAAAUGCAUACUAUUAAAUGACUGCAGAGCAAACUAGAGAGUUCAAAUCUGUGACUUUGAACUUCUUCCUCUCAAAGAAGCCUUACGUACAUACCUGACUGACUUAGAAAGAAGCAAGCGUCCCAUCUGUACAUUCCCAGAGGGGAGUGCCUCCAUCAUUUCAGGAUGCUAUCAUAAGAUACCUCAAACUGGGCGGCUUAAAUGACAAGCACCUAUUUCUCAUACGAGUUUGUUUCAGAGCACUUAAGAGGUCUGAAAGAUUAAACCAUGAAUCUCAAAUCAGCAAGUACACAUCUUCUAUCAUACUGUGAAAAUAACUGCAGGCUUGAACUUUCUUCAAAGGCCCUGCACUCUCACAUUUCCCAGCUGAGAAGUAUAGAUUUCCAGCCAGAGCGCUCAGAACUCAAAUGAUGUUACUUUCAAGUCUGUGCUUCCCGAAGCAAAGGGCUGCCAAGUGUGUAUGACAGAGUUCAAAACUGCAAGCCAACAAAGCCGACUCCCCUUUCCGAGACAGAAUGAUGAAUUGAAUCAUCCUUCAGGGGAUGGAUCACCUUGGCAUCCUUUAGAAAUAGCCACUUCAUUCUGAAAUGCUGCAAUGUUUUGGGAAUAUACACAUUUACGUUUCUGUCAGGCUGUUUGUAAGCCAAGCUAUGUGCGUGAGUCUCCCCUAGUUUUGAUAUACAAUUCCUUCAAUUAUGUCAGCAGCCAAUGACAGAGCACAUGAUGAUCUUAUACAAUUCAAGGUAUUUUAUGAAAAUCUUAAAAAUGGUCUUUUGUCAUCAAUGUAAAAAAUAAAAAUAUUUUAUAUUCCAUUAUCAUUUGUGCAUGUAAGUAAAAUAUUCAGUCUCA